CAGAAAGAGUUAACGGUUAAACGAAUACACACGCGUUACAAAUGAUAAGCGGCUUUAAACAGUUGUAAAUUGUUUCAGACAUAAUAAUAAUAAUCAAAAUAUGAUUAUGGAUGUGGUAGCUGAUACCUCAAAGAUUCAAUCAGUUACAGAUCAAAAAUGCAAUGAACUAUUUCAGGUCAAAAGAUGUUUUCUUUUUAUUCUCAUUUGUACAACCAUCGGCGAAAUGGGUACUCUACUUGGACUGGUUGGACACUGGCGAGUAUUACGGGAGGACAUUAUGAGCCCUAGACAGCAACAGAUGUGUCUGCCAUUGCACAGAUUCGCUCUGGCAGAUGACGAGGAAGCAAACGAACAAUGUCCCGGUAGACUUAAAAAGAGGGUAGACAGAAAGAAAAAAUCAAGCAUUUGCUGCGGCACUUUGAGUGAUGUGCUUGACAAAGUUUCUGACAAGACUGUCAUGGAAAAAUAUAGUAGUGACGCAAAUCCUGAAAUUAGUUCACUGAAUCUGAUGAGUUAUAAAUGCGAGGCAACCAACAAGAAGCAACCAAAGGCACAUCUUGUGGAUAUUUCAGAAGAUAAAAAGCCAGUUCCAGUGGGGGCGCCAUCAAGGUUACUAUGGAAUACUGACCCACCGUCUUAUGCAAAUUCAGGGUUGAGGCAUUCAAAAGAUGAUGGAACAAUAUUUGUAGAAAAACCUGGUCAUUAUUACAUAUCGUCACAAUUGAAAACAAGAAUUGCGAAAGCGAAUGAUACAGAUGAAACUUUAGACAGCAUCUUUAGACAUUACGUGCAUUUAAUCAGAAACAAAGGGACGGAGGGAGUAAUACUUGAAGAUGCAAAAUCCCAGUGUGAACUGGCGUCAGAUGUUUCAGAAAGUACAAGCGUCCUUGGAGCUGUCUUCCAUCUCGAGGACGGGGAUCGACUAUGAGUGUUGAAUCACUUGAGGCACAGAGCCGAUGCCACAAAUAGAAACUGUAGAGAGAAGAUAUGCAGACGGGUUGCUUCAAAUACCGAUCAACAAACACGAAAUUUAAAAAAAACGAUGGAUUGAAAACAAGUGAGGGAUGGUAGUGACGGGGAGUUGGUUACAACUUGACUCUGGUAGUCCUCAUUUCAACGACGAUCGCCAAUAUGGUUACUAGUAUACUUUUAGCAUUUUACGGGCGUUGGUGUAUUUCGCGAAAGAAAAUUAUGACAACUAAACAACAAUUUGCUGAUUAACUAGCACUUUUGGUCAUAACGAUCUCCGAUGUACAGUAGUAAUAGCUCGGCAGCACUUGCUACCCUAAACCUCCAGGUAACACAACCGAUGUGAUCUCUUUAUUGCCAUAAAGUGAAAUGUAACAUUUUGAAAAAAAGGACUAAACUAAAGCUAAGAAAUAGAUCUUAAAGUCCUUAAUGACUAAAAGAAUUUUACAAACUGCCGUUUUAUAACAAUUUUCAUUAAAUUAGAUGUAGUACUUAUUUUAGGUAUUGAUCGCAGAAUAAAACGACACAUUUUUCCUCAAGUAUAUCUACGAGAGCUUACAGUACAAGGGAGGCUACAGCUGAGUGAAAUAAAAAAACUGUUCUUACAAUAGAAUAUAUUUGUUUGAUUAUUAGUUAAAUUUGUACCACUGACGCAGAUGAAACUCAUUCUGUAUUUAUUAAUGUCACUAAUACAUUGCUGCUGUGAACAAAAUGUCACAUUUCUUUGAACGUAUAUAAUAGCUUAUUACAAGAUAAUUGCGUUUUGUAUUCCAAGAAGUUUUGUUUAUUAUGUACAUUAAUAUGGCAACGGCAGCGUUUAAACCAUGAU
rnacentral:misc_RNA from 1 species